AACGAACGCUGGCGGCAGGCUUAACACAUGCAAGUCGAACGCGUGUAGCAAUACACGAGUGGCGCACGGGUGAGUAACGCGUGGAUAUCUGCCUUUUGGUUCGGAAUAACCCCGGGAAACUGGAGCUAAUACCGGAUGGUUCCUACGGGAUAAAGAUUUAUCGCCAAAAGAUGAGUCCGCGUACGAUUAGCUAGUUGGUGAGGUAAUGGCUCACCAAGGCGACGAUCGUUAGCUGGUCUGAGAGGACGAUCAGCCACACUGGGACUGAGACACGGCCCAGACUCCUACGGGAGGCAGCAGUGGGGAAUAUUGCGCAAUGGGCGAAAGCCUGACGCAGCGACGCCGCGUGGGUGAUGAAGGCCU
rnacentral:rRNA from 1 species